GCCAUUUGGUCAUCAGGGAUCUCACCACUGAACCGGUCGCUCAAUGCCUGUCAGACCCAGUGAGAGAAAUUGCUGAGGAAUUCAGAGCAACAAGGACAUUGAUUCACAAGGACAGUCGUAGCCUUCUGGAAAGUAGCUUGGUGUAUACAGUCUCAUGGAAGAUAAUGACUGCAGGACCCAGAGUGGACAAGGGAACAUCCAAGCCACAGCGGGCCGUGGUUGCCUUCAGCUCCUUAGUGAAAUGUUUCAGGCCUCAAGGACCAGAGAUUCCAUUCUAAGCAGGCAGUGUGACAAGUGGUCCAGAAGGUUCAAAUCUGAGCAUUAAGUGUAAAAGACAUACCUCGACUGGCACCUGCUGGAACAGAUGAGUACAGCAGUGGGAAAGGCCAAGAAAAAUUGGAUAUGAGAAGAAAACGGGUGAGGAAACUAUCACUCUGCCCUCUCUGGUUUCUCUUCAAGCCUCUAUUUUGUCUGCCUGUUUUCUGUUCCCCCGGAACCAUAUAAAGAACUCUCUGGUAAGCACACGGAAGCCACCAGCAUAGCUGCCAAUAAUCUUAGUUUAGCUAGGUUUUGAAAAACAAUCCUAGGACUGAGGGACAAGCAACUGUAAUUUGGCCUGUGGUAAGCUUUUCAGAGCGGUGACUAGAUCAGCAAGAGGGCAGAAGGCUGAUCACAGAGUGGUGAGUGGCAGGAAGCAGGAAAGGGAACCUGAACUCUCAUUGCAGGGAAGAAGAAGCCAAUUGCCUGGGGCAGGGAGUGGGAGGGAGAGGAAGCAGAACAAGCAAGCGAUAGGAAGAAAAGUGAUGAUAUAAUGCUUUCCAAGGAUUAUUUUCCAUACCAGCCACAAGUCAGGCUGUGGUCCACUAGCAGGAUUGUGUAUUUUGCUGUGUUUUCCAUGACUCCUCACACUACUAAGAACAUGUCUCCAAAAUGCUCAUAGAUCCGGGAGGUGGAAUCUGCUUUAUAAGGGCACUGUACCUGUCUAUAGCUACCAUCCUUCACAUUGAACAGAAAGCUAACCAAGAGUGGGAGAAGGGAACUGGAAAAGCAGUAGGAGAGAGAUGAGGAAGUGUGGGAGAGGGAAUGUUAGGGCCUCAGAACUGAGCAGGGUGGAUAAAAAUCAAUUAUUUUUAAAUCAGAUUUUUUUAGUUAAUAAAAUACUAGAUUUUUCACUUAAAAGCAAUAGAUGAUACCAAAUUGAUCAAAAUAGUUAAGACCAAAGCAGACUGUGAAGAGCUUCAAAAAGAUCUCACCAAACUAAGUGA